AGCGUGAUGAAGACUCCUCCAGGCCUUCAUCGCCGCAGCUUAUUCUGGCUGCUGCUGCAGCACCCAGACACCAGCGGCCCUCGGGGGCCCGGCGGUGGCAGUCCGACGCCCCUGAAAUCCACGGGGCGUCGGACCGGAGACCCUCGGCUCAAAGAGGUCAAGGAGACGCUGAAGGUCACCAUGGAGACGACCUCAGACGGAGCGCUGGACCGACUCCUCCUCAAGAAAUCAGCCUCCAUUUUGAGCUGCAGGAUGGAAAUAACUUGCUGACUUGUUACUAGAGGCCAGAAGAUGAAAGAUCAGGACAGAGCAGAACCUCCAGGACCCAUCAGUCCAUCUAUGAGGAGUGACCGGUCCAAACAUGAUCCUCCAGACUUCAGUAAUGAACCUGAACCAUCAGACAGAAAGAGGAGGAAGUGUGAAGAAAGACCCAGAACAGGAGCUGAACGGCCGACAGCCAAUCAGAGCAGCU